UGUCACAAUGCCCACCCACACAGAUGCAGACAGAGCCUGCAGCAGCCCCUCCCUCACACAGCUCGGGAGCAUAGCACCCACUCACUUCAUCCCUAGGGGCUGCAUCACAGCCUGGGGCUUUCAGCUCCACAUGUGAAUGGUUCGUCAAAAGGCCAGUGGCAGCAGCUACAACCGAGUCCCAGAAGGGGUCCAGGAGAGCUAGGUUUGGUAUGUUUGUGGCUGGUGCUGGAAGCUGGAGACACAGAGGCUUGUCUUGCUCUGUGCUGGACCCAAAGCUGUGGCUUGGGGCUUCCCUAGGACCCUAAUGGGGAGGCAAGAGCUCAUAUAGACCGACCCCUUGCAAUGCAGGAGUCUUGGCAAAAGAACAGAUGGUCAUCCAACCUCUGCUUAAAAACCUCCAAGGAAGGAGAGUCCACCACCUCCCAAGGGAGUCCGUUCAACUGGCGAACAGCUCUUGCUGUCAGAAAGAUGUUUAGUCGGAAUCUACUUCCUUGUAACUUGAAGAAAUUGGUUCAAGUCCCACCUUCCAGAGUAGGAGUAAACAAGCUUGCUCCAUCUUCCAUGUGACAGCCCUUGAGAUAUUUGAAGAUGGCUAUCAUAUCGCGGGUGGCGCUAUGGUCUAAACCACAGAGCCUAGGACUCGCCAAUCAGAAGGUCGGCGGUUCGAAUCCCCGUGACAGGGUGAGCUCCCGUUGCUCAGUCCCUGCUCCUGCUAACCUAGCAGUUUGAAAGCACGUCAAAGUGCAAGUAGAUAAAUAGGUGGGAAGGUAAACGGCGUUUCCAUGCGCUGCUCUGGUUCACCAGAAGCGGCUUAGUCAUGCUGGCCACAUGACCCAGAACCUGUAUGCCGGCUCCCUCGGCCAAUAAAGUGAGAUGAGCGCUGCAACCCCAGAGUCGGCCAUGACUGGACCUAAUGGUCAGGGGUCCCUUUACCUUCAUAUGUCUUCUCAGUUUCCUCUUUUCCAGGCUAAACAUAGGCAGCUCCUUGAUCAUCCUGGUUGCCCUCCUCUGCACACAUAACAGCUCAUUAACAUCCUUCUUAAAAUGCGGCACCCAGAACGGGAAACAGUACUCCAGGUGAGAUCUGUCCAGGUUGGAUAUAGCCAGUUUGGUGUAGUGCUUAGACUGUGGCCUGGGAGAGACCAGGGUUCAAUUCUCCAUUUGGCCAUGAAACUCACUGAGUGAUCCUUUAAGGACCAGUCACUGCUUCUCAGUGUCAUGUUCCCUCCCUGCCUGCCUAGCCAAAGAAGGCCCAUUUCUCCUCCUGCUGCCCUGGCUCCUGCCUUGUAGGCGGCACCAAACCCCCUAAAUUGCUGUCCCCGUCUCCUGGGUCACUGUCCUGGCUUCCUGCCUCCACCACACACACUUCAGAGCAGUCCCUGACACUCAGAUUAACCUACGUCAGAGGGCCAUUGUGGGAAGUAAAUGAGAGGGAGAGAACCUUGUAUAUAUCACCUUGAGCUCCUUAAAGGAAAAGGUGCAAUGACAGAAUGAAACAAUAUACAUGUAAAUAAAGUAAUAUACUCUUAAGACAGCAGUCUCCACUGAGAUUCAUUCCAAGGAAACCAAAUCGUGAGCAUGCACAGGAGGAACCCCUGGAUUAUCUUGUUGCUCAGAAAUUGGGGUACACACAACAUUGGAUUUUUUGCAGUAAAGGGAAAUGAUGAGUGUGCUGGAAAGUGCAUGACGAAACAUCAUCUGACCUCUCCACAAACCAGAGUAUAUGCUCAAACAGAAUAAGUUGCAACCUCCUUGCAAAGGCUUCUUUCAGAUGUCCAUUUUAUUGAGCAUUCAUUUGGAUUCUGAGGCAGCAAAACUUCUGAACAUCAGUUGCUGGAAACCGCAGGAAAGGGGAAGUGAUGGUGCUCGAGUCUUGCUUGCAAAUUUCCUAAAGGGAUCUGGUUGGCCGCUGUGACAAUAGGAUGCAGGACUAGACGGACCUCCUUUUGGCCUGAUCCAACAGGCCCAUAUUAGGUUUUUAUUUGUUUGAACAAAGUUUACAGGAUUGGAAAAAAAUGCAUCCUUUCCAGUGCAUUUUCCCAUUACUUUCCUUAUCCCCAAAAGUCAGGGUUUUUUUGAGAGGGAAGGAGGCAGGUGGUUUGUCACACAUGAGCUCCAAAUCAACUUCUAUUGCAUAACAUGAAUUUGCCAGUAUGUGGCUGAAUCCCACCCAACCAUCAGGAACAACCCAUAUAGUCUGCCAUGGUAAACACACUUACUUGGGAGCAAAUGUAAAAAUGUUUAUUUUGCAAAAUUUAUAUACUGCUUGAUUGUAGCAAAUCCUCUAACGUUUUACAAGAAAAAAUAAAAUUAUCAAUAAAAGAAAUGACACCUUUAAAAAUAAAUUAAGAGUAAAAGAGAUUAAACCACAUUGACAACUAUGUACCUGGAUUGGUUUGCCUAAACAAAAAUGUUUCUCCUGUCAGCAACUCUGCUGUAGCAUUUUGCAAUCACUAGUUUCUGGAUCAUGAAGCACAAGGGAAGCCCCACACAGAACGCAGUGCAGUAAUCCAGUUUUGAGAUCCCCAGUACCUGCACUACUGAGCUCUGUAGGGCUUUCUUUCGAGUAAACAUGCCUGCAUUGAGCGGUGUCACUUAAAGAGUUGUCGUCCUCGUUUCUUUCGCGAAAGGCCACGAGCAAUAGAAUGAGAGCGGAGGGCCGUGCCUUCCCAAAUGGACCUGGUGCCAAGGAGGCUGACUCCCACAUUCUUCGCCCCGGUCGCUUCUCUCUCUAAGCCUCGAAAGCUUUUGAGGAGGCAACAAUCGUGG